GAUGAACGCUGGCGGCGUGCCUAACACAUGCAAGUCGAACGAAGCGCUUAAGACGGACCCUUCGGGGGAAGAUUUAAGUGACUGAGUGGCGGACGGGUGAGUAACGCGUGGGCAACCUGCCCUGUACAGGGGGAUAACAGUUGGAAACGGCUGCUAAUACCGCAUAAGCGCACAGUGGGACAUCCCACAGUGUGAAAACUCCGGUGGUACAGGAUGGGCCCGCGUCUGAUUAGCUGGUUGGCAGGGUAACGGCCUACCAAGGCAACGAUCAGUAGCCGGUCUGAGAGGAUGAACGGCCACAUUGGAACUGAGACACGGUCCAA
rnacentral:rRNA from 1 species